GACGAACGCUGGCGGCGUGCUUAACACAUGCAAGUCGAACGGAAAGGCCCUGCUUUUGUGGGGUGCUCGAGUGGCGAACGGGUGAGUAACACGUGAGUAACCUGCCCUUGACUUUGGGAUAACUUCAGGAAACUGGGGCUAAUACCGGAUAGGAGCUCCUGCUGCAUGGUGGGGGUUGGAAAGUUUCGGCGGUUGGGGAUGGACUCGCGGCUUAUCAGCUUGUUGGUGGGGUAGUGGCUUACCAAGGCUUUGACGGGUAGCCGGCCUGAGAGGGUGACCGGCCACAUUGGGACUGAGAUACGGCCCAGACUCCUACGGGGGGCAGCAGUGGGGAAUAUUGCACAAUGGGCGGAAGCCUGAUGCAGCAACGCCGCGUGCGGGAUGACGGCCUUCGGGUUGUAAACCGCUUUCGCCUGUGACGAAGCGUGAGUGACGGUAAUGGGUAAGGAAGCACCGGCUAACUACGUG
rnacentral:rRNA from 1 species